ensembl:lncRNA novel transcript
GAACCUGAACAACCUCUGCCGUUAACAUAUUUUGGUGACCCGGGAAGGAGGAAGAGGCCUGAAAGAUAAGACAAAGAGGUUCCUACAACCUGGAGACCGAGAAGGCUGCCAGGCAGGAGCUGUGAUUGCAGCUGAAAGAUGCAGCCGGUCUUUAGCAACUCCACAUGGAGGAAGCCAGGAAAAUAAAUACUCCAAUCAAUCACAAUUUCUUUUUCUGCUAUGUCUUGCCCAUGCUCUGAAUUUUUCAAAAUCGACUGGAAGCUAGAAAGCAAAGGAGAACUUUGGUGAGUCUACUCUGAAUAUGGGACACAGAGCAAUGGGGAGAAAGGUUAUCAGGAGACACCCAGUUCAGGCACCUACCUCUUCCACAAUAACAACUUCUGUUUCACUCAGCAUUACUUUGUGCCCAGCUGAGAAAGGACUGCAUUCUCCAUUCUCUUACAUUUGCGUGACUGUGAUGUGGAACUGGAACUAACAAAAAGGAAGAACAUCAGAGGAGGUGCAAGAAGCAAGAGAGGGAAAGCACCGUGGUGGAACAGUGGCUGAUAGUUUUCUGGUAGAGUGCUAGAAAAACAUUUAAUAAUGAGCAUGUUCCAUAUCCAGUGAUUUUAUUUAUUUUUUUAUUUUGAUAGUUAAGUAUUUAAGUGUUCCCUUUGUGCCAGGGAAUGUAUUAUGGACCAGAGAGUAAUGAAAUAAAGAUGCCAUUUCACUUCCUGCA